UAAAUGUCUGAGGAGGAAGUCUUUGCUCUUUCAGAUACUUGAUGCAUUCUUUUCCUGUUUGUUCAUCCUCAACUACUACUGCAUCCAUAUAUCUGCCCAUUGCAACUGUUACAGCAAGGUUAUACUUCUUCUGUAUUGGCCUGCAGAGAUCUGUCAUUCGACCAUGAACACCGGGAAACAGACGCUUCAGUGUUUCAACUGCUUGAGACAAUCUGGCAUCUCUCUCAUUCUCAUGUCUCUCAGCCUUCAACUCGCGUAGUUGGUCCUCUACUUCAUCAAGUCGUUUGCGCAGAUUGUCAUGUUUUUCUCUGGAGCGUCGAAGUUUAUUUUUCAUCUCACGCUGUUCUUCUUUCACCCGUUUCAGUUCUU
rnacentral:misc_RNA from 1 species